AUGGAACGCCAAAAAUACACAAACAAAACCCCACUUAGACCAAUAGUAGACAGCAUAGGUACACCAACAUACAAAAUGGCAAGAGAUAUCAGCAAAAUCAUCAGCCUGUUAUUAGGAAACACAGAUCAAAAUAGUAUAGAACUGGCAAAAGAACUAAAAAACAUUACAAUAGAAAACAACAACAUACUCAUCUCACAUGACGUCACAUCCCUGUUCACAAAAACACCAACCCAAAAAAACAUAGACAUAGUAGUUAACAGAAUCAGACAGGACAAAACUUUACACAAAAGAACAAACCUCACAGCAGACGACAUAGCACAACUGAUAGCACUGGUAGCUAACUCCACUUACUUCACAAAUGACAACACAAUAUAUAAACAACUGGAAGGCUUCGCCAUGGGUAACCCGUUAUCAGCCACCCUGUGCGAGAUUUUCAUGGAAGACCUAGAACAAAAAGCCAUAGCCACUGCCCCCCCAAACUGUAAAAUAAAACUAUGGAAACGCUACGUAGACGACAUACUGGAAAUCAUACCAAAAGGACAAACAGAAACACUAUCACAACACUUAAAUAACAUUGACGACACAGGCAGCAUAAAAUUCACUUAUGAGUCAGAAACAGAAGGCAGUAUAACAUUUAUGGAUAUGAAAAUCACCAGGCAGACCGACGGGACCCUAAACAUAAACACAUACAGGAAACCAACACACACAGACCAAUAUUUAUUAUGGACAUCAGAACACCCCACCAUACACAAAAUGUCAGUAAUCAGAACAUUAUAUCACCGAGCAAACAUAAUAACAGAAGAGAGAGACUGUAAACAAGAGGACGAACACAUACAACACGCUUUAAAGACCUGCAGAUACCCGACAUGGGCAAUAAACAAAGGAAAACAACAAACAACAACAGAAAGAAAAGAACAACCUAAGCAAAGAACCAGAAACCCAGAAAGACAGGAACCAAAACCAGUGACCUUACCAUACAUCAAAGGCAUAACAGAAAAAAUAAGAGCAACAAUGAAAAAACACAACAUAAACACACCAACAAAACCAUACACAACAGUUAGAAACAGACUAGUACACCCAAAAGACAAAAUAUCAGCUGGACAAAAAUGUGGAGUCAUUUACGAAAUCCCAUGCAAACUCUGCAAUAAAACAUACAUAGGAGAAACCGGACGCCAACUCAACACACGAACAAUAGAACAUAGAAAGGAGUGCGAGAAAGAGGCAAGUCGAAAACACACAAGAGCAGCAAAAGAAGAAGCAGAAAGUACAAUAAAAAAAGUCAGCCAUAACAGAUCACUGCAUAAGAGAAAACCAUAUAAUGGACUGGGACAACUCAAGGAUCAUAAACACCGAACAACAGAAAUAUAA
rnacentral:lncRNA from 1 species